GACAGAGGGUGCAAACGUUGUUCGGAAUUACUGGGCGUAAAGCGCGUGUAGGCUGUUCGGAAAGUCGGAUGUGAAAGCCCUGGGCUCAACCCAGGAAGUGCAUUCGAAACUCCCGAACUGGAGUCCUGGAGAGGAAGGCGGAAUUCCAGGUGUAGCGGUGAAAUGCGUAGAUAUCUGGAGGAACACCGGUGGCGAAGGCGGCAUCCUGGACCAACACUGACACUGAGGAGCGAAAGCCAGGGGAGCAAACGGG
rnacentral:rRNA from 1 species